GACGAACGCUGGCGGCGUGCUUAACACAUGCAAGUCGAACGGAAAGGCCCUGCUUUUGUGGGGUGCUCGAGUGGCGAACGGGUGAGUAACACGUGAGUAACCUGCCCUUGACUUUGGGAUAACUUCAGGAAACUGGGGCUAAUACCGGAUAGGAGCUCCUGCUGCAUGGUGUGGGUUGGAAAGUUUCGGCGGUUGGGGAUGGACUCGCGGCUUAUCAGCUUGUUGGUGGGGUAGUGGCUUACCAAGGCUUUGACGGGUAGCCGGCCUGAGAGGGUGACCGGCCACAUUGGGACAGAGAUACGGCCCAGACUCCUACGGGAGGCAGCAGUGGGGAAUAUUGCACGAUGGGCGGAAGCCUGAUGCAGCAACGCCGCGUGCGGGAUGACGGCCUUCGGGUUGUAAACCGCUUUCGCCUGUGACGAAGCGUGAGUGACGGUAAUGGGUAAAGAAGCACCGGCUAACUACGUG
rnacentral:rRNA from 1 species